rnacentral:rRNA from 1 species
GUUAUAUGGUCAAGUGAAGAAGCGCAUACGGUGGAUGCCUUGGCAGUCAGAGGCGAUGAAAGACGUGGUAGCCUGCGAAAAGCUUCGGGGAGUCGGCAAACAGACUGUGAUCCGGAGAUGUCUGAAUGGGGGAACCCAGCCAUCAUAAGAUGGUUAUCACACACUGAAUACAUAGGUGUGUGAGGCGAACCAGGGGAACUGAAACAUCUAAGUACCCUGAGGAAAAGAAAUCAACCGAGAUUCCCUUAGUAGUGGCGAGCGAACGGGGACUAGCCCUUAAGUUGAUUUGAGAUUAGCGGAACGCUCUGGAAAGUGCGGCCAUAGUGGGUGAUAGCCCUGUACGCGAAAAUCUCUUAUCAAUGAAAUCGAGUAGGACGGAGCACGAGAAACUUUGUCUGAAUAUGGGGGGACCAUCCUCCAAGGCUAAAUACUACUGACUGACCGAUAGUGAACCAGUACCGUGAGGGAAAGGCGAAAAGAACCCCGGAGAGGGGAGUGAAAUAGAACCUGAAACCGUAUGCGUACAAGCAGUGGGAGCCUACUUUGUUAGGUGACUGCGUACCUUUUGUAUAAUGGGUCAGCGACUUAUUUUCAGUGGCGAGCUUAACCGAAUAGGGGAGGCGUAGCGAAAGCGAGUCUUAAUAGGGCGUCUAGUCGCUGGGAAUAGACCCGAAACCGGGCGAUCUAUCCAUGGGCAGGUUGAAGGUUAGGUAACACUGACUGGAGGACCGAACCGACUACCGUUGAAAAGUUAGCGGAUGACCUGUGGAUCGGAGUGAAAGGCUAAUCAAGCUCGGAGAUAGCUGGUUCUCCUCGAAAGCUAUUUAGGUAGCGCCUCGUGUAUCACUGCUGGGGGUAGAGCACUGUUUCGGCUAGGGGGUCAUCCCGACUUACCAAACCGAUGCAAACUCCGAAUACCAGCAAGUGUCAGCACGGGAGACACACGGCGGGUGCUAACGUCCGUCGUGAAAAGGGAAACAACCCAGACCGUCAGCUAAGGUCCCAAAAUCCUGGUUAAGUGGGAAACGAUGUGGGAAGGCUUAGACAGCUAGGAGGUUGGCUUAGAAGCAGCCAUCCUUUAAAGAAAGCGUAAUAGCUCACUAGUCGAGUCGGCCUGCGCGGAAGAUGUAACGGGGCUCAAACCAGGUACCGAAGCUACGGGUUCAACGCAAGUUGAGCGGUAGAGGAGCGUUCUGUAAGCCUGUGAAGGUCAGUUGAGAAGCUGGCUGGAGGUAUCAGAAGUGCGAAUGCUGACAUGAGUAACGACAAUGCGAGUGAAAAACUCGCACGCCGAAAGACCAAGGGUUCCUGCGCAACGUUAAUCGACGCAGGGUGAGUCGGUCCCUAAGGCGAGGCUGAAGAGCGUAGUCGAUGGGAAACGGGUUAAUAUUCCCGUACUUCUAGUUACUGCGAUGGGGGGACGGAGAAGGCUAGGCCAGCAAGGCGUUGGUUGUCCUUGUUUAAGGUGGUAGGCAGAGAUCUUAGGUAAAUCCGGGGUCUUAAUGCCGAGAGCUGAUGACGAGCUUUCUUUUAGAAAGCGAAGUGGUUGAUGCCAUGCUUCCAGGAAAAGCCUCUAAGCUUCAGGUAACUAGGAACCGUACCCCAAACCGACACAGGUGGUUGGGUAGAGAAUACCAAGGCGCUUGAGAGAACUCGGGUGAAGGAACUAGGCAAAAUGGCACCGUAACUUCGGGAGAAGGUGCGCCGGUGAGGGUGAAGUAUUUACUACGUAAGCCCAUGCCGGUCGAAGAUACCAGGCCGCUGCGACUGUUUAUUAAAAACACAGCACUCUGCAAACACGAAAGUGGACGUAUAGGGUGUGACGCCUGCCCGGUGCCGGAAGGUUAAUUGAUGGGGUUAGCGCAAGCGAAGCUCUUGAUCGAAGCCCCGGUAAACGGCGGCCGUAACUAUAACGGUCCUAAGGUAGCGAAAUUCCUUGUCGGGUAAGUUCCGACCUGCACGAAUGGCGUAACGAUGGCGGCGCUGUCUCCACCCGAGACUCAGUGAAAUUGAAAUCGCUGUGAAGAUGCAGUGUAUCCGCGGCUAGACGGAAAGACCCCGUGAACCUUUACUAUAGCUUUGCACUGGACUUUGAAUUUGCUUGUGUAGGAUAGGUGGGAGGCUUUGAAGCGUGGACGCCAGUUCGCGUGGAGCCAUCCUUGAAAUACCACCCUGGCAACUUUGAGGUUCUAACUCUGGUCCGUUAUCCGGAUCGAGGACAGUGUAUGGUGGGUAGUUUGACUGGGGCGGUCUCCUCCUAAAGAGUAACGGAGGAGUACGAAGGUGCGCUCAGACCGGUCGGAAAUCGGUCGUAGAGUAUAAAGGCAAAAGCGCGCUUGACUGCGAGACAGACACGUCGAGCAGGUACGAAAGUAGGUCUUAGUGAUCCGGUGGUUCUGUAUGGAAGGGCCAUCGCUCAACGGAUAAAAGGUACUCCGGGGAUAACAGGCUGAUACCGCCCAAGAGUUCAUAUCGACGGCGGUGUUUGGCACCUCGAUGUCGGCUCAUCACAUCCUGGGGCUGAAGCCGGUCCCAAGGGUAUGGCUGUUCGCCAUUUAAAGUGGUACGCGAGCUGGGUUUAGAACGUCGUGAGACAGUUCGGUCCCUAUCUGCCGUGGACGUUUGAGAUUUGAGAGGGGCUGCUCCUAGUACGAGAGGACCGGAGUGGACGAACCUCUGGUGUUCCGGUUGUCACGCCAGUGGCAUUGCCGGGUAGCUACGUUCGGAAGAGAUAACCGCUGAAAGCAUCUAAGCGGGAAACUUGCCUCAAGAUGAGAUCUCACUGGAGCCUUGAGCUCCCUGAAGGGCCGUCGAAGACUACGACGUUGAUAGGUGGGGUGUGUAAGCGCUGUGAGGCGUUGAGCUAACCCAUACUAAUUGCCCGUGAGGCUUGACCAUAUAACACCCAAACAAUU